rnacentral:rRNA from 1 species
UACGGAGGGUGCAAGCGUUAUCCGGAUUUACUGGGUUUAAAGGGUGUGUAGGCGGGCUUUUAAGUCAGUGGUGAAAUCUCCGGGCUCAACCUGGAAACUGCCAUUGAUACUAUUAGUCUUGAAUUCUGUUGAGGUAGGCGGAAUAAGUCAUGUAGCGGUGAAAUGCAUAGAUAUGACUUAGAACACCAAUUGCGAAGGCAGCUUACUAAACAGAUAUUACGCUGAGGCACGAAAGCGUGGGGAUCAAACAGG